rnacentral:ncRNA from 2 species
UCACUCUGAAAAGCGGCGAGCCGGAUGUCUCAUCCGGCCUCGCCCGCCGACGGGGCAAGCGCUACGGCGCGGAAACUCUCAGGCCUAUGACAGAGCGGGAGGA